GGGAAAGUGGCUCAGUGGUAGAGUGCUUGCCUUGCAUGCAUGAGGCCCUGGGUUGAUUCCUCAGCAUUACAU
rfam:Dipodomys ordii contig_29428, whole genome shotgun sequence.